GACGAACGCUGGCGGCGUGCCUAAUACAUGCAAGUAGAACGCUGAAGGAGGAGCUUGCUUCUCUGGAUGAGUUGCGAACGGGUGAGUAACGCGUAGGUAACCUGCCUGGUAGCGGGGGAUAACUAUUGGAAACGAUAGCUAAUACCGCAUAAUAGUAGAUGUUGCAUGACAUUUGCUUAAAAGGUGCAAUUGCAUCACUACCAGAUGGACCUGCGUUGUAUUAGCUAGUUGGUGAGGUAACGGCUCACCAAGGCGACGAUACAUAGCCGACCUGAGAGGGUGAUCGGCCACACUGGGACUGAGACACGGCCCAGACUCCUACGGGAGGCAGCAGUAGGGAAUCUUCGGCAAUGGACGGAAGUCUGACCGAGCAACGCCGCGUGAGUGAAGAAGGGUUUCGGAUCGUAAAGAUCUGUUGUAAGAGAAGAACGAGUGUGAGAGUGGAAAGUUCACACUGUGACGGUAUCUUACCAGAAAGGGACGGCUAACUACGUG
rnacentral:rRNA from 1 species